AAGCGCGGUAUUGGAUAUCCGCGUCCAAGCAGUUAGGCUGGGAAAUAGGCAAAUCCGUUUCCCAUAAGGCUGAGCUGUGAUGGCGAGCGAAAUAUAGUAGCGAAGUUCCUGAUUCCACACUGCCAAGAAAAGCCUCUAGCGAGGUGAGAGGUGCCCGUACCGCAAACCGACACAGGUAGGCGAGGAGAGAAUCCUAAGGUGAUCGAGAGAACUCUCGUUAAGGAACUCGGCAAAAUGACCCCGUAACUUCGGGAGAAGGGGUGCUCUGUUAGGGUGCAAGCCCGAGAGAGCCGCAGUGAAUAGGCCCAGGCGACUGUUUAGCAAAAACACAGGUCUCUGCGAAGCCGUAAGGCGAAGUAUAGGGGCUGACGCCUGCCCGGUGCUGGAA
rnacentral:rRNA from 1 species